UACGGAGGGGGCAAGCGUUAUUCGGAUUUACUGGGCGUAAAGGGUGCGUAGGCGGCCGCGCAAGUCUGACGUGAAAUCUUCACCGCUCAACGGGAAGAGGUCGUUGGAAACUGCGUGGCUCGAGUGUGGUAGAGGCAAGUGGAAUUCCAGGUGUAGCGGUGGAAUGUGUAGAUAUCUGGAAGAACACCCGUGGCGAAGGCGACUUGCUGGGCCAUCACUGACGCUGAGGCACGAAAGCGUGGGGAGCAAACGGG
rnacentral:rRNA from 1 species